rnacentral:misc_RNA from 1 species
AACGCACCUUGCGCCCUUUGGCUAUUCCGAAGGGCAUGCCUGUUUGAGUAUCAUGAACACCUCAACUCUCAUGGUUUGCCAUGAUGAGCUUGGACUUUGGGGGUCUUGCCGGCCUAUGGUCGGCUCCUCUCAAAUGAAUCAGCUUGCCAGUGUUUGGUGGCAUCGCGGGUGUGAUAACUAUCUACACUUGUGGUUUUCCACCAGAUAACCUUCAGUGAUGAAGGUUCGCUGGAGCUCACAAAUGUCUCUCCUCGGCGAGGACAGCUUUCUGAACGUUUGAUCUCAAAUCAGGUAGGACUACCCGCUGAACUUAA